AGGAAUUAAAAUCAAACUGUGUUGUAAGCCUCAAAAUGAGUCUCUCUUAAAGCAAGGCCAUAAACAUUAAAGAGAGAGAGAGGGAGAAGUGAUCAGUAAUAUCCAAUAUAUCCUAGAAGCCUGGUAAGACGUCUGUUGUAUUUGGGCAACAGGGAAGUUUCUGGUGAUCACAGUAAGUUUUAAACUAGCAGUAUAAACAGAAGAUAGAUUCUAUUGUGCGUUGGGUACAAACAUGAUGAGAACUAAAGAAAUACAGAAACAAAUGAUAGAUAACUAUUAAUAAAUUUGAGAAAAUACAAAUGAUACAGUGUUGAAGGAAGUAGAAAUGCAGGGUCAAAGGUGGAGAUAUGGUUUAGAUCAGGAGAGACCUCAGUAUAUUUGCAGGUUGGGGUGACACAGCAAAAAGAGAAGGAGAAAAUGAAGAUAUGGGAGUAUGAGGGGAUGAUUAGUUAAGAUUGAAGAGAAAAUAGAGCAUGUACUCUGGGAGACAGCAGAGAGGAACACUAGUGGACUGGACUGGUGACAUCUUGUCCCUUGACUAUGGAAGGAAAAACGUGAAACCAGGCAGAGAGUUUCCUUCCUUGGGUUAAUGUCCAGCCUCUGAAGCUCCUGGGAGUUCUCCUCCUACACCAGCCUCCUCCCAACCCCUGUCCUGCUGGCAAAAAUGUGCAUCCAGUAGCCUAACAACUCUGGGUAUGACACCUCUGGCUGGAAAACCACAAUGAACACUGAUGCUCAGCUAACUUAGGUGAGACCAUGAAGGGGAGCUCCAAAAACUCAAAGCAACGUAGUCACUGAUUUGCAUUUAUAUUUCUAAUUUGUUCUUGCAGUGAGAGGAUGAGACAACUUGAAAAAUAAAUGGAAUCCACAUUCUGAGAACCUUCCAAAGUUGCUCCACGAAGCUAAGUUGUGGUGGAGCCUGUUUAUUUUUUUAAAUCCUGGAGCAUUAGGCUUAAUCUUCUAAAGCAUCUGUAUCAAGAGUGUUGGUCCAGGCAACCAGAUCUUCCACUUCUUCUUCCCAUGGCUCAUUUACGCUAACAUCAUCUGGUAAAACUUUUCUCUUCCACCGCUCCUUUGUUUUAUCCGCCCCUGUGACAGUAUCUGUUUCAGUUUGUGAAUCAGGACUAGUUGGAACUAUAAUGGAGAAUAUGAAAAACAGAAAUUUAAUAGACAUGGCAGGAAAACCGAUAAAGUAUCCCUCUGUUUGUAGCAUAAAGUCUAAGAUCAGCUAAAUGAAUGCAAGGAAACUUAAAAGUUUUGAAAUUUCACACUUGGCAAUGAACGAAUUUGUUGUCAAUCACUUUCCACUUUGGCCAAUCUUUUUACUCUCAUGAAUUACGGAGCCCCUGCUGAGUGCCAGUAGAUUUGCAAGGGAAAAGAUGUCCAUGAGUGCUCCAGCAGCACAAGGAUGGAGCCACCGGGUCUAAGCGAAAACAGACUUGGACUUUGAAAAAGAAGGAGAAAUUGGCUAAACAGAGAAAGGCAAAGAAGGGAGUUGGAAGCACAUUAGAUCGAGGAGACAGUACAUACCAAAGCACAGAAGUAUGAGAGAACUUGACAGGUUUGGAGAUGAUCAGAGCUGAUACUUCAGUAUUUACCCACUGCCAGCUAAGCAUGUGCUACGUGUAAAAUACAGUUUAAUUUCAACACAACACUUGUGAUAAGCAGGUAUUUUAUCCUUAUUUUAAAGAUGAGGAAAUCAAAACUGAGUAACCAGAAGUAACUUGGCCAAGGACAUCCAGCGAAUAAUAGUUAAUCCCAGGGCCAUCGGGUCCAAAAAUCACUGUGUGCAUGGAGAGUAAAGUGGAGCUGGCUAGUUAGGCUGGCAUGACAUAGGAAAGCCUCAUGUCAUACAAAGGAGUUUUAUCUUUCUCCUUCAGGGAAAUAAACUGCUUACAUUUUAAAAGAAGAAUAUAGAUACAGUAUCUAUAUUUCUCAGUAUUACCACUCAGCAUGGGGAGCUCGCCAGAAGGGACAAAGAGUGGCUCCAGGACAAAAUCUUUUGAUCUUAUAUGUUUACUUCCCCAGCUAUGUAUCAAAUCAAACUUGUAAUAUUCAUUGUCUUCUACUUGUGCUAUAGACAAGGGUUACCAAUGAAUUGUUUUCUUGUUCUCUUUGGUUAUGGAAAGAUUUAUAGAGGGAUUUUUUUUUUUUUUUUUUUUUUUGUCUUUUUGCCAUUUCUUGGGCCGCUUCCGCGGCAUAUGGAGGUUCCCAGGCUAGGGGUCAAAUCGGAGCUGUAACUGCCAGCCUACACCAGAGCCACAGCAAUGCAGGAUCCGAGCCGCGUCUGCGACCUACACCACAGCUCACAGCAACGCCGGAUCAUUAACCCACCGAGCAAGGGCAGGGAUCGAACCCGCAACCUCAUGGUUCCUAGUCGGAUUCGUUAACCACUGCGCCACAACGGGAACUCCUAUAGAGGGAUUUGAGUUUAAAUAGAUGCCAUUAUCCUAUAAGAAGACUGAGGUCACCUAAAAUUGGUUUUAUUUUUGUAUUUUAUUUUACUUUAUUAUUUGCUUUUGCUUGUUUUGUUUUGUUUUGCUUUUUGUUUUUUUGGUUUUUUUUGUCCAUACCUGUGGCAGGUGGAAGUUCCCAGGCUAGGGACUGAA
rnacentral:lncRNA from 1 species